rnacentral:rRNA from 1 species
AUGGACAAUGACCAGGUGUGCCCUGGCCAGACUGACAUCACUUUAAUAAUGACCAGCGCUAGAGAUCAGGCAAUCACAGAAGUGCGGGCGCUAAUGGAGGCGCACAAGGACGAGGUGACCAGCAUCACCGUCACGGGUCACAGCCUUGGCGGCUCACUCGCCACCCUCAACGCAGUCGACAUGGUGGCCCACCAUGUCAAUGUGCCCCCGGCCGGCUCCUCCAAGCAGCAGCCGUGCCCUGUGACGGUGAUCCUGUUUGCGAGUCCACGAAUCGGCAACGAAGAGUUCAAGCACGCCUUCGCCUCCUUCCCUGAACUACGGGCACUCAGCAUGAUCAACAAAAGAGACAAAGUGCCGAAACUCCCGCCAUGCUUCGUGCACGCGACGACGGCGACUAUGCCCAUCGACACGGACCGGUCACCGUACCUGCGCCCAGGCACCAUCGGAAUACGCCAUAACCUCGAGUGCUACCUGCAUGGCGUCGCUGGAGAUCAUGGUGCCGAUGGGGACUUCAAACUAGUGGGGGACCGUGAUUUGGCGCUGGUGAAUAAGAGUACGAACGCGCUAACAGAGGGGUAUCCGGUGCCGGCGAAGUGGUGGGGCGCGAAUUACAAGGGCACGGUCAAGGGUGUUGCUGGCCACUGGAAGCUCCAGAAAUUCGACGAUGAAUAA